ensembl:piRNA 21ur-697 ncRNA
UUUCAGAAAAAAAUUGGUAUC